AGUGAACGCUGGCGGUAGGCCUAACACAUGCAAGUCGAACGGCAGCACAGUAAGAGCUUGCUCUUACGGGUGGCGAGUGGCGGACGGGUGAGGAAUACAUCGGAAUCUACUUUUUCGUGGGGGAUAACGUAGGGAAACUUACGCUAAUACCGCAUACGACCUACGGGUGAAAGCAGGGGAUCUUCGGACCUUGCGCGAUUGAAUGAGCCGAUGUCGGAUUAGCUAGUUGGCGGGGUAAAGGCCCACCAAGGCGACGAUCCGUAGCUGGUCUGAGAGGAUGAUCGGCCACACUGGAACUGAGACACGGUCCAGACUCCUACGGGAGGCAGUAGUGGGGAAUAUUGGACAAUGGGCGCAAGCCUGAUCCAGCCAUACCGCGUGGGUGAAGAAGGCCUUCGGGUUGUAAAGCCCUUUUGUUGGGAAAGAAAAGCAGCAGGUUAAUACCCCGCUGUUCUGACGGUACCCAAAGAAUAAGCACCGGCUAACUUCGUG
rnacentral:rRNA from 1 species